AGAGUUUGAUCCUGGCUCAGGAUGAACGCUAGCGGGAGGCCUAACACAUGCAAGCCGAGCGGUAGAGUUUCUUCGGAAAUUUGAGAGCGGCGUACGGGUGCGGAACACGUGUGCAACCUACCUUUAUCUGGAGGAUAGCCUUUCGAAAGGAAGAUUAAUACUCCAUAAUAUAUUUGAUGGCAUCAUUAAAUAUUGAAAGCUCCGGCGGAUAGAGAUGGGCACGCGCAAGAUUAGCUAGUUGGUGAGGUAACGGCUCACCAAGGCAAUGAUCUUUAGGGGGCCUGAGAGGGUGAUCCCCCACACUGGUACUGAGACACGGACCAGACUCCUACGGGAGGCAGCAGUGAGGAAUAUUGGUCAAUGGGUGCAAGCCUGAACCAGCCAUCCCGCGUGAAGGACGACUGCCCUAUGGGUUGUAAACUUCUUUUGUAUAGGGAUAAACCUUCCCACGUGUGGGAAGCUGAAGGUACUAUACGAAUAAGC
rnacentral:rRNA from 1 species